rnacentral:rRNA from 1 species
UCGAUUGCUCCAGAAGUGCCUGAGCCAACCGCAAGGAGGCAGGGCCCAAGGAGUGAUCGGUAACUGGGGUG